CCUACGGGAGGCUGCAGUGGGGAAUAUUGCACAAUGGGCGCAAGCCUGAUGCAGCCAUGCCGCGUGUGUGAAGAAGGCCUUCGGGUCGUAAAGCACUUUCAGCGGGGAGGAAGGCGUUAAGGUUAAUAACCUUGUCGAUUGACGUUACCCGCAGAAGAAGCACCGGCUAACUCCGUGCCAGCAGCCGCGGUAAUACGGAGGGUGCAAGCGUUAAUCGGAAUUACUGGGCGUAAAGCGCACGCAGGCGGUCCGUCAAGUCGGAUGUGAAAUCCCCGGGCUCAACCUGGGAACUGCAUUCGAAACUGGCAGGCUAGAGUCUUGUAGAGGGGGGUAGAAUUCCAGGUGUAGCGGUGAAAUGCGGAGAGAUCUGGAGGAAUACCGGUGGCGAAGGCGGCCCCCUGGACAAAGACUGACGCUCAGGUGCGAAAGCGUGGGGAGCAAACAGGAUUAGAUACCCCAGUAGUC
rnacentral:rRNA from 1 species